rnacentral:rRNA from 1 species
AUUGAACGCUGGCGGCAGGCCUAACACAUGCAAGUCGAGCGGAGCGGCGGACGGGUGAGUAAUGCCUAGGAAUCUGCAUGGUAGUGGGGGAUAACGUCCGGAAACGGGCGCUAAUACCGCAUACUAUCAGAUGAGCCUAGGUCGGAUGAGCUAGUGGGUGGGGUAAGGCCUACCUAGGCGACGAUCCCUAGCGGGUCUGAGAGGAUGACCAGCCACACUGGAACGGAGACACGGUCCAGACUCCUACGGGAGGCAGCAGUAGGGAAUAUUGCACAAGGGGCGCAAGCCUGAUGCAGCCAUGCCGCGUGUAUGAAGAAGGCCUUCGGGUUGUAAAGUACUUUCAGCUGGGAGGCGUUACCCGCAGAAGAAGCACCGGCUAACUCCGUGCCAGCAGCCGCGGUAAUAC